ACUUAAAUAGCUUAUAUUUAGAGCAUAAUAUUGAAGAUAUUAAGGAAAUUGAAAUAAUUUUUAAGUA
rnacentral:tRNA from 1 species